ACCUCCUGCGGGAGGCAGCAGUGGGGAAUAUUGGACAAUGGGCGCAAGCCUGAUCCAGCCAUGCCGCGUGAGUGAUGAAGGCCCUAGGGUUGUAAAGCUCUUUCACCGGUGAAGAUAAUGACGGUAACCGGAGAAGAAGCCCCGGCUAACUUCGUGCCAGCAGCCGCGGUAAUACGAAGGGGGCUAGCGUUGUUCGGAUUUACUGGGCGUAAAGCGCACGUAGGCGGACUAUUAAGUCAGGGGUGAAAUCCCGGGGCUCAACCCCGGAACUGCCUUUGAUACUGGUAGUCUUGAGUUCGAGAGAGGUGAGUGGAAUUCCGAGUGUAGAGGUGAAAUUCGUAGAUAUUCGGAGGAACACCAGUGGCGAAGGCGGCUCACUGGCUCGAUACUGACGCUGAGGUGCGAAAGCGUGGGGAGCAAACAGGAUUAGAAACCCCAGUAGUCCCAUGA
rnacentral:rRNA from 1 species